UAACACCUGGAAACAGAUGCUAAUACCGGAUAACAACAGAUGAUGCCUAUCAACUGUUUAAAAGAUGGUUCUGCUAUCACUCUUGGAUGGACCUGCGGUGCAUUAGCUAGUUGGUAGGGUAACGGCUACCAAGGCGAUGAUGCAUAGCCGAGUUGAGAGACUGAUCGGCCACAUUGGGACUGAGACACGGCCCAAACUCCUACGGGAGGCAGCAGUC
rnacentral:rRNA from 1 species